GACUCGCCUAGAUGGCUUGCGAUAUACUCAAACCUUAAGCAAUAGCAAAUAUCUCAGAUAUGAGGUUUUCUCUACAUCCAAUUCUCGUGAUUCUCCUCACUUAAAUCCGCAUAGGCAUAGAUCGGUCCUGAUAGCGCCCUCCUGUGCGCUUCCUCUCCAAGUACCCUCUGCUGCCGCGUGCUUGUCCUCCGUGUGUUGCCGCACCGUGGAGAUGGGUACACGAACUAGGCAGGCCACGGGACGACAGCUGCUCUAGCACCCACCUCGUGAGGAGGGGUUGAGUACAGCUCCCAGUUCACGGAGGAGAUGCCAGCACAGAAGUCACUGGAUGCAUGCCCAAGAAGCCCAACACGGCCAGGUUGACAUUGUUGGAGUAAGUUGCUAUUCUUCAAAGGACCUGUGGUCUUGGAGAAACGAAGGAGUUGUGCUCCAUGGCGAGGAAAAUAAUUUGUCACAUGACCUCCACAAAUCCAAUGUCCUGGUGCGACCCAAGGUGGUCUAUAACAACCGGACCAGCAAAUAUGUGAUGUGGAUGCACAUAGACGAUGCGAACUACACCAAAUCCUCAAUCAGCGUGGCGACGAGUGAUUCUCCCAUGGGACCAUUCACUUAUCUCUACAGCAAGCGCCCACAUAACUACGAAAGCAGAGACAUGACCAUUUUCAAGGAUGAUGACGGGAAGGCCUACCUGAUAUAUUCAUCCAAGGGCAACAACGAGCUCCACAUUGCGCAGCUAACCGAUGACUACCUCGACGUGACCGACGGCAUGCGAAGAAUUCUCGUCGCACGGUAUCGAGAAGCCCUCACGCUCUUCAAGUUCCGUGACACCGACUACAUGAUAACCUUGGGUUACACCGGCUGGGCACCGAACACUGCAAGGUGAAGAAAAAUUCAGAUGGGAAACUACACAUAUAUACUGUAUGCUAUACAAAUAUUGCAACAUACAUGGGUGCCAAUGCGGAUGUCGAUGUUGCCUAUUGUAUGUUUGUUGAUUCUGUUUGAGGCACAUAUGUUUGUUGAUUCUGUUUCUGGGUUGGCCCUUGAGGGGGAGAGGAAAGCAAACUUCAGCAUGCUUCAGAUUUCUGCUCUUUGGUUGGCAAUGGUCCGAAUGGAGGUCAAACUAGCAUUCCCCCAGGACAGACCGCCACUUUCCGUCAUUUCGGCUGCAAAGAUUGCAGGUGUUUCCAUAAUCAUUGAUCCGACCCUUGCCUCAGGUUCAGUGCCCACACUACACUUCAGUUCUGGGGAUUUUAUACAUGGUGUCAACACAAUUCUCCGAUACAUUGCACGUGCUGCAUCUGUUUCCAGCUUCUAUGGCCAGGACGAUAUUCAGGCAGCACAAGUUGACCAAUGGCUCAAGUACACACCACUCAUUCUCUCAGGCUCUGAAUUUGAAGCUGCUUGCUCAUUUCUUGAUGGAUACUUGGCAAAUCGAGCCUUUUUGGUUGGUUAUGGUCUAUCAAUUGCUGACAUUGUCGUGUGGUCAAAUCUCACAGGUCACCAUGGUUCCAUUGUCAUAUCAUUCCUCAUAUGCUGCUGUUUAGCAUCACAAAAGAAGAAGGCCAGAGUUAUUUCUUCCUUUUGGAUAUUUUCCAUCAUAACUAGCAGCCAAUCUGAGCCGAAUAUCUGAAGCAAUUUCUGUAAGUUAAGUUCCGGUGCUCCUAUAUUUGAACUAGAAUCUUAGCGCUUAUUUUGUCCACGUCAAGGUUUCUUUGUGUGCAAUUGAAAAUUAUGUGAGAACUGGGUUUUUACUCCAAUACCCCAAUUUUAGCAGAUAUUGAAAACCUCGAGAGUUUGGUGCCAUUUGUCACGCUUGUAUACUUAAUGCUAUUCUUUGUGUCUUCAAUAAUGUCUCACCAUUUGUACAACUCAAAAGAGGAUUUCCCAUGAACAUUUUAGCACUGCUCUUACCUAUCGAUCAAAAAAUGUUAUUCUCUACAGGUUAAAUUUGUUUGAAGAUGAUACUAUGCAAGAUGCGUAAGCUGGGGAUGGCAUGGCAGUGCAUGCUGAUGCUGUCGGUCAAGAAGUACCAUACCGCCAUGUGUGGCCUCACCUUUGUUUAUCAAUUCGUGCGCAGGUAUGGAUCGGUGAUGUUGUCGAUGCCCAUAGAGCCAUUGCCUCAUGCAUGAUGUGUGUUUUGUGUGUGCCAGUUUGCCGGUUAGUGAGUGAUAAUAUUCGGAUGGAUGUUUCAUCGGUGUAGCAAGUGAUCAGCAAUAGACAGCUCUUACUUUUGGAUUGAAGUGCAGAUCUUGCUAAAGAGUUAACUAUGGACUCAUUUAUGUAUUCUUAUGCCCCAAUGCUUCAUUAAGUAUUCUUAUUUCUGCAACAUAAAAUUAUUUCUUACCAUCUUCUAUUGUUUCCUCUGUUUUUAUCAGUUAUUCAGUGAACACCACAUAAAAUUAUUUCUUACCAUCCUCUAUUGUUUCCUCUGUUUUUAUCAGUUAUUCAGUGAACACCACAUGUCACAUGAAUUUUUGACUACUUGUCUACAGAAUCAGGUCUUGAGUUUGCUUGCUUAAUCGUCCCUGUGUAAUUGCUCACCAAGCUCGCCAAUUGUGAGUUUGUCCCACACAAUGGAGUUUCUAUGAAUUUUUGUAGUCCAAAAUUCUUGGAAAUUCUCUUGUUGCUGUUAUAAUGUGGGUGUGUUCGGCUUCCUUCUUCAUUAAAGUUUGACAGGAGUCGUAAAACCAACGGAUAAGAGACUGUUUGAUGGUGAAAGAAUGUAUGCUCGUGGUGACUACCUCAAGUGUGCCAGAGUAUGUUUGUUUGGGCUGCAAUUUCCAUGGCUGCAGCUGAAGGAGCGGCUGUAGCCGGUGAUGAAGAGAGGCACUUUGCAUUUGCCCACCAGAAGUACAGAUCGGUAAAGUACAGAGAAGCUUCAGAGCAUGGCAACAUUGUUUAUGAGAAGAUCACGACAAACUACUUCUUGGAGUUACUACUAUCAGUUUAUGACUUGGUGCUAGCUGAAGCUUCUAUUUUCUACCCAAACUGCUAUUAACACAAAAAGUUAAUGGUAUUUCAUAACUAAUGGAUUGAGCAGCAACUCUAGCGAUCCAGAAUUUUAUCCUAAGCUGCUAUUAAACUCACAAGAGGGAGCAUUUUAAUAACAAAAGAACUCUAGCCAUGCUUUUUGAUAUACUACGUAUACGUAUGAUGUACUAGCAGUUCCUAUUUUGUAACUAUUGCGUACUAGAAAAUUGAAUUGGCAAUGUAUUCAUAAAUAUGAUGUAUUAAAUUAUGUCCUGAGAGGGAUUUGUUCA